rnacentral:rRNA from 1 species
UACGUAGGUGGCAAGCGUUGUCCGGAAUUAUUGGGCGUAAAGGGCGCGUAGGCGGCCCGGUAAGUCAAAGGUGAAAUCCCUCGGCUCAACUGAGGAACUGCCUUUGAAACUGUCGGGCUUGAGGCCGGGAGGGGGUAGCGGAAUUCCCAGUGUAGCGGUGAAAUGCGUAGAUAUCGGGAGGAACACCAGUGGCGAAGGCGACUACCUGGCCUGUUUCUUGACGCUGAGGCGCGAAAGCUAGGGGAGCAAACGGG